GGAGGAAGGUGGGGGAUGACGUCAAAUCAUCAUGCCCCUUAUGACCUGGGCUACACACGUGCUACAAUGGGCGGUACAAAGGGUCGCGAACCCGCGAGGGGGAGCCAAUCCCAAAAAGCCGCUCUCAGUUCGGAUUGCAGGCUGCAACUCGCCUGCAUGAAGCCGGAAUCGCUAGUAAUCGCGGAUCAGCAUGCCGCGGUGAAUACGUUCCCGGGCCUU
rnacentral:rRNA from 1 species